rnacentral:rRNA from 1 species
CAGUCGCCACGGUAAUACGAGGGGGGCAAGCGUUGUUCGGAAUUAUUGGGCGUAAAGGGUGCGUAGGCGGUUUGAUAAGUCUUGUGUGAGAUCUCUGGGCUUAGCCCAGAGUCUGCACAGGAAACUGUCGGGCUUGAGAGUGGGAGAGGUGAGUGGAAUUUCCGGUGUAGCGGUGAAAUGUGUAGAUAUCGGAAGGAACACCUGUGGCGAAAGCGGCUCACUGGACCAUUUCUGACGCUGAUGCACGAAAGCUAGGGGAGCAAACAGGAUUAGAUACCCCCGUAGUCCCUGUCUCUUAUAA